UUUCAGCCAUUCAGAAGCCAUCCACGGUUCAAUGAACUGCUUGACAACAUAUUUAUGGUUUUGGACUUCUUCAACAGUCGCAUGGAUGCCCAAAAGAUGGAUGGGGAAUGGUCUGUAGAGAAAGUACUGCAAGUGAUUAUUGUUAAUUGCCGAUCUUGGAGGGUUGACGGACUAAAGAUGUUUACCCAAUUGCGUUUCACAUAUGAACAAGAGAGUCGUCCUGAGGAGUUCUUCAUUCCAUAUGUGUGGCAGCUGGUGUUGUCUCGGAGUGGUCUCAACUUUUCUCCUAGCAGGAUACAUCUUUUCCCGGCUGACCUUCCUCUCCAAGAUAGUAUUGGCAAGGAGGUUGAAAAUCCUCAGAAAGGUGACAUGAAAGGAAAUGAGUUAAAGAUAGAGGUACCAGUUUGACGGGUUGUCGUCUCAGAAGGCUAAGCUGUGUAUAUACAUACAUGUAUCUAUAGAUAUGUAUUCUUGUCAUUCUUUUCUGUUCAUAACUUAAAGAGUAGAAGAUUUCUCUUACAGCUGAGUGAAUUGAAA
rnacentral:misc_RNA from 1 species